rnacentral:lncRNA from 1 species
AGGUCCCCGGGGUGGGCAGACCGGGCGUCGAGGACAUCUCCGCGGCGCGGUUCCGCGCUGGCGCACCCAGCCGCCAGCGCCCCCGCGCCCGUGCCGCGGGAGGGACGGCCCCACGGCCCCAGGCUCCGGGCACAGAGGGACCGGGAAGGACGCCCGGCGAGGCGGCCCGAAGGCAAGGUCUCCGACGCCGGGUCUCCGGGACUCGCGCCGACUGGUAAGACCGGCGGCGGGACCAACCGCCGCGUUCGCGCCGCGCAUGCAUUUGCAGCGCGUGGCGCCCCGCUUCUGGGCGCGGGAGGCCGGCCGGGCCCGCGGGCUCGGCGAGGCGCGGGGGAGCUGGGCCCCGGCGCGGCGCGGCGCGGGGCGAGGCCUGCGGCUUGGCCGAAGGGGCUGGGAGGGCUGUUCCCGGGGCCACGGGGUGUCGGGGUCGCGAUCCAACCUACUUCUCGAAAGAGCGCCUUCCGCCGCGGAGGGCGCAGUGGGCGGGCCUGGCGGAGGGCGGGGUGGGGGUGGGGAGCGACACCGAAGGGGGGCAGGCGCUUGGCCGUCCACCUAGUGCUGCUGGAGCCCCGUGUGCCCGUGCUAGGCUCCGGAAGAACGGGAGGAGACCUGGGGGCGCUGAGGGCACGUGCCCGGGCGUUAGGGCCGAACGCUCAGAGGGCCCGGGGCUCCAGGGCGGAGGCCGACCGGGAUGCCCCUGCGCCCCGCGGGCGGGGUGCUUGCGUGCCGCCGAUUCCCCAUUCGGUGUUGUGACCUUGAGCAAGUUGCUUACCCUCUUCUUGAACCUGUUUAGUCGCUUGAAUUGAUGAAGUUGUUAAGAGGGUGACAAUAAAGUAUGAAUGUAUUUGGAGACUGUUCCAUCUUCCCCACAGCUACUGGGCUUGACUUGCUCUGCUUUUUUGGCCUAAUUCCGGCUUCUCGGUUUUGCAGGCAUUUAUUCUUUUACCCACAGGGCUAGCGCAGAACCGGACUUAACAAAAGGAGGUCUGGAGGAACGGAAGAAACACGCCUUGGUAUCUUGCUGUAUCUACUACUGCAGGGGACCUCUUGGCUGUCCUCUUGUUCUGUUCCCUCAUUGAAAUCUUAGCAAGAUAAGCCUUAGAAGACUGCAGGGGGAGGGAGUGGAAGGGGAAAGUGCAGGGUGGUGGUGGGGGGGGGGGGGGGGGGGGGGACUGUGUGUAGCUCCCAGACAUAUGCCUAGAAUAGAUUUUUGUUCAUUCGCAAAGCCAGUCACGUUCGUGGGAGUUUCUCGUGUCACUCCUUCACAUUUUGAAAUAUCAUCAAGGGGCGCCUGGGUGGCUCAGUCGGUUAAGGGUGGGUCUUCACCCAGGUCAUGAUCUCACGGUUUGUGGGUUCUCCUGUCCUUCCCAGCUGUGUGCUGACAGCUCAGAGCCUGCACCUGCUUCAGACUCUGUGCUUCUCUCUCUCUCUCUCUCUGCCCCUCCCCUGCUCUCUCUCUAUUUCAAAAAAUAAACAUGAAAAAAAAUUAAAACAAGAAAAAAGAAAAAGAAAUACCAUCAAAUACAAUGUAAAUAAAAUCAAGACAGUUCUUAAUACAAUCCUGGGCUAUUAAAUCUCAGCGUUUUCAAUCUAUCCAGGUUAGAAGUAACCUCCUUCUGCCGAAACCUCCCAUGCUUACUUCUUUCAAGUUUUUUUUUUUUUUUAAUAUUUAUUUUUUUAAAGUAAGCUCUAGGUGGGGUUUCAACUCAUAACCCUGGGAUCAAGAGGCACAUGCUCUAGGGACUGAGGGGACCCCCAGUCUGAGGGGACUAGGGACUGAGUAUCCCCCCAGCCUUCUCCCCCCAUACUUUUUUUUUAAUUUUUUUUAAUGUCUAUUUUUAUUUUUGAGAGAGAGAGAGAGAGAUUCAGAGAAAGAAGGAGAUACAGAAUCUGAAGCAGGCUCCAGGCUCUGAGCUGUCAGCACAGAGUCCGACAUGGGGCUUUAACCCACCAACCAUGAGAUCAUGACCUGAGCUGAAGUCGGACAUUUAACCGGCUGAGCCACCAAGGUGCCCCUCCCCCCAUACUUUUAAUGGCACUUUCACAUUGUGUUGCAGUUGGCUUUGAGCACUUUGGCAUCCCACCAACUUAAAACACUCCUUGUGGCAAUAACUGUUGGUUGCAUUCCUGGCACCUAACAUGGGGCUGACACAGUAAGUACUUGCUGGAUGAAUAAAUACAAGAAUCAUUUGGUUUCCUUAAGAAGUUAGAUUUUUAUCUGAUAAACAUUCCUUGACAAUUCAGUUUCAGUUUCCAAUUUUUCUGUAAUGUUUUAUAUUCAUGAUGGAAGAAAAACAUUUGAUUUAAAAACAUCUAGCAAGAUCUAGGGGUACCUGGGUGGUUCAGUCGGUUGAGCUUCCGACUUCGGCUCAGGUCAUGAUCUCCCAGUUUGUGGUUCCAGCCCCACGUCAGGCUCUGUGCUGACAGCUCAGAGCCUGGAGCCUGCUUCAGAUUCUGUGUCUCUGUCUCCCUGCCCCUGCCCCCGCGUGUGCUCUCUCUCUCCUUCUCAAAAAUAAACGUUAAAAAAAUAUAGCAAGAUGUAGCUCAAAUGUCUCUUCUUCAUGACUCUACUAUUCACCCAGGCAGAACUGGCUAGCCCCCGUCCCCUCUGUUACAUUUAGUUUUUGUGACAUAUGAUGUCACACCAUGCAAUUGUUUACUGUUUCUUUUUACCCCAGUAUGAACUUCUUAAAGGCAAGAACUCCUCUCAUUUUUUAUAUUCUCAGUGCCUAGCACAGUACUGGACUUUUAGUCAGCACGCAAUAAAUGUUGAACAAGAGAAUAAGCAGAUUAUCUGGCACUGUGUCCUUUAUGGUGGAAGGAAGGAGUUCAUUAUAAAAUGGUCUUAUUAUCAUCUGGAAUUGUUUGAUCAUCCCACAGAAUAAUGGAGGUUUCAAUUCUCUGUUUCAGCUCAAGCAGUAUAACCAAACCCUUACAGAGACCACAGGGCUGUAGAUAGAGGAAAUGACUUCUGUCUUCUGUUGAACUUGUCUCCUAACCUCCUUCCAUGGCUCAGUGCCUUGACUCCUGAAUGUCAGGGCAUAUCAUGUGGCUAUAAUGGGCUGAGAACCUGUUCCUCCCAUCCUCCCAGAUGUUCCCAAUGUCCCCCCCCUCUUCUGUGUCUGGGGGAAGUAGCUUUAUUUGCCCUGCAUUGCUCUGCUGGACAGGGAGCUUAAAAAAUCAGACCACUGUGCCGUGAGGAUUAAGCUCCUGCUACCACCAUCCAUCUCCAGAACGUUUUCCUCAUCCCAAACUCUGUAGCCAUUAAACACAGACUUCUCAUUCUCUCCCAUUCCAGCCCAUUAGUAACCACGAUUCUCCUUUCUAUGAAUUCGGUUACCCCGGGUUAUCUCGCAUAAGUAGGAUCAUACGGUCUGUGUCCAUUUCUGCCUGGCUUACUUCACUCGGCACCAUGUUUUUAAGAUUCAUCCGUGUUGCAGCAUGUCUCAGAAUUCCCCUGCUUUUUAAGGUGGAGUAAUAUUACAUUGUGUGUGCGCACACACACACACACACACACCAUUUUGUUUAUCCCUUCAUACAUCGUCUGUCAGCAGACAUCUGGGUUUCCACCUUUUGGCUCUGUGAAAACUGCUGCUCUGGACAUUGGUGUGCAAGUAGCUGUUCAAGUCCCUGAUUUCAAUUCUUUGGGGUAGGGUCCUAGACCCGGAUGGCUGGGUCAUACGAUAAUGCUAUGUUCAGUUUUUUUUUGAGGAACCUGUACACUGUUUUGUAUAGUUUUACAUUCUCAUCAGCCACGUUUCCCCACGUUCUCACCAGCACUUGUUAUUUUCUGUUGUUGUUUUUAACAGCCAUCCUCAUGGAUAUGAAGUGGUACUCAUGAAUUUUGCACCUAUGUUCAUUAAAGACGUUGGCCUGUAGUGGUCUUUUUUUAUAAAUAGAUUUAAGCAUUUGGGACAAUAAUAAUAAUAAUAAUAAUAAUAAUAAUAAAAAGUCAGGGCUGUCCUGAGGUUUCUUGGUUGUGUUGGUGAGCUUGUAGUGCCACAGAGAAUCCUGGAGCAGGACCAGAUUUUAAAGGACAGGGAGGAAGGAUGUGUACAAAAAGUACUGUUGUAAUAUUGGGAAAGUUCAGCUCACAAGGACUGUGGCCCUCCUGGAGGAGGUAUAUAGUUGGCAACUGAGGGAACAUGAUCAAAACUUGAGAACGAGUAAGAACCAGGAAGACAGAUGAUGGGAGCAUCUGCCAUUUCUUGAGUAAUGGUAAAUGUUCACGAAUUCCCAGCCUAAGUGUAGUAGCUGGAGUCACAGAACUGCAGGACUCUCCCGAGAGACAGAGAGAGUGACAAUUGGCAAGAGGGCCAAGAACAGAACCCCGAAGAACCAAAAUUUAAGUACUGUGCAGCAAAGAAAUAGCCAAUAGAGACUGCAAAAUAGGAAGCAGCAGGAGGGAAUAGUAUUUUGAAAUCAAAGUAAAAUAUGGUAUUUAAAAAGGAGAGCUGAUUCUCCAAUGUUUCAAGGAAUCCAGUGUUAUUUUCCUCUUCGGUCCUCAGCCAGUGAUCAUGUCCAUCACUGUAAUUUAUUAGAUAUCCUUUCUAGUCCCAGCAGAACCGAAUUAAUAGGAAAACUGGGUCAAUGGCAGAGCUGGAUUUAUUAUAAAUUAACAAGCUUGUAGUGACAAGGUAUGAGCAUCCUUUUUGCUAACAUUUCAAAGCUGACAUCUAAAUUAAGCCUGUUUUUAUUUCAGUUGUGAAAAGUAAAGAUUAAGACUUAAAAAUCAUCUCUAAAUUUAUUAUCAUCAUUUAAAAAUAACACCAGGGCAAAGCCGCACCAGGACACAACAAAACCUUUUACAACCCAUCAGGCGUUUUUAAAACAUUUAUUUUAAAAAUCAGAAUAAUGCGCUAUAUUUACUCACAUAUAUUCCUGUUUGUUACCAGAUAUUUUCAGCAAACAGACAUCUUUAAGCCUCUUCAUCUGCUUUUAUCAAACCUUCAAAGUGGCUCCCGCUGCUGUUGACAAUCACAGCAGCCUGUUGGGGGUAAAGUAUGGGGAGAGAAAAAUAAUCACGUAUUCCUCAAAAUUCAGAAAUAAUAAAACACUUGAGCGGGUAAAUGUGCAUUUGUAUGGCACCAACGAAGGCCAAAAUAGUGAUGUAAUUUCCAUACACACUCUAAAAUGAAUAAUAUAAACUUGUCCCAUUAUUAACUAUUAACUCACCAAAUACUUCGCGUUAAACCCUAGAGUUUUGUGGAAUAGCUAUUAAACUGAUGACUACUUCGUAAACAUUGUGAUAAUUACGUAUGUUCAAAAACACACGAUCUUUUGAAAAUGCAGCUAAACAGUUUGGUGAAGAAUCUCAUGAAAUCAAGUGUUACUGACCCAACACAAUUAUUCUGAAGGUAGGAGGAAAACAACACAUGAGUUUUUAUGGAUGUAAGGUCUUUAGAAUUCAUGCUCAAUCAUUCCUCCACACGACCUGGCAUUUAGUAAUAUAUAUUUUGGGGGGAAUCGUUUUUAAAGAAUCCUGUGUGUGCAUAAAUGUUUUUCUCUCUCCACCCCCCAAAAAUUCUCUGAAUGCAACAAAUACCUUCUGAGUGGCUUCUAUUUGGAGUUUUAAGAGAAAGAGAGAUGUAUUACAUGGUCCUUGCUUGCAAGCAGUUCAUUCUGUAGGGGGGAAGGAGGCAUAAAUCCAUAUACACAGUCAUGUGUUCUUAGGAGGGGAGGCAAUGGGAGCACAGAGGUGUUGCAAAUGUGGAAGUCUCCGGAGGUCAUUCUAGAUACUAAAGUAGGCUUUAACCCCAACAUGAGGAUGAAUGGGCAGUGGUGAUGGGAGCACACAGUGGGAACGUGGCAUGAGAAGCGGCCAAGUGAAGAACAGCUCCAGAGAAAGAAGUGGAGGAAUGCCUUUGCAAGAAGGUGGAGUGCAGGUAUGCGGUGAAAUGCAAAGGUUAGGAAGAUGGCUUGGAGUCAGAUUGAGAGGGGCUCGGACGUGGUAUUAAAGAUUUGUGCCUUUAUUAUGUGUGUAUGAGGAGCAGCUGAAGGUAAGAACGUAGAGUGACGUGUCCAGAAUUGCUUAAAGGAAGAAGAGUCUGCCACUCUGUGAGGGAGGAUUUUCCCGUGACGCAGGCCAUCUAUAUAAAAAUUUGUAUUGUACUUUAAGGUCUGGGUAAACCUUAACCAAGCUUGAAAUAUGAGAAGUUAAUCAAAUUCAGGAAAAAGCAAAUCCCAACAAAUUUUUAAUCUCGUUUUUUUUUCCACAUGACAUCAACAUAAUGGCCCCCUUCAAGUAUGUGCGAGUUAAGAUUCUAGAAGAUUCUAGAGUUCCAGCACUUCAUCUUAUAAAGGAAUGGAAAUCAAGAGAAGUGAAAGGACUUAAUCUAGUUAUACUACUUUGUCAUAAGUAGAACCUGAGUUGGAUAAAGGUCUUUAGAAUUCAAGCUCAAUCAUUCCUCCACAUUACCUGGCAUUUAAUAAUAACAUAUAUUUGUUUGGUAAUCAGUUUUAAAGAAUCCUAGUUUAACUGAGGAGAAGAGAAUUGAAUACUUCCCUCCUCCCACCCAAUUUUUAACCCUCAUGUAUUAAAAUACACAUUUUUUUUUCCAGUGGAGGUAAUCUGUUUUCACAAACAGAGAAGAACAUGUAUAACUAUUUUGACUGUAAAUAAAUGUUGUGGUUAAAAAAUUGAAGAUGAUGGCAGAAUAGCAUUUUUUUACAUUUAAAAUCUCCCUGAAUUUUCCUUUUUUUCUUAGCGAAGUGAAAGAAAUUUCAGACUAGUCUUAUGAUAGACAUUAUUAAAAUAAGGAAGACAAAAUUAAUUGAUUUAUGUUAUCUGUAGCUGUAAAAAAAAAAUUGUUGAGUACCUCACAGCAAAGAAAUGCUGCCAAUGAGCAUAAAGACAUAUAUAAAAAUAAGACAUGGUCCCACCACUAGUGGCUUAUAAUCAAAUAGGAUUUGGAGCACUUGAUAGAUACUUUAUUCCUUACUGAAAGCAAAUUUCAGUAAUGUUAUCUCUAUUCAGAUAUAUAUGCUAAUUCACUUAUAUGUAUAAAGAACAAAGAAUUGUAUGUAACUAACAAUCGCUAUAUAUUUUUCAAUGAGAGAAAACCAUUUGGGAAGAGAAAAAUGCAGAAGCUAGAAGCAAAACAAACUUAAAUGUUAGUUAUUAUCAAUACUGAAGAUAAAUACUACAUACAGUAGUAGUAGAAGAAAGUGAGAUUGAAAUGGUUACAUCUUUACUGAAAUUUUAAUUCCUUUUUAUUUACUGUGGAUUAUUUUGAAGCAGAUCAAGAUGAUUUCAAGUUGGUAAAAAUAAAGUGAAAUUCCAAGAUACAUUAAUGAAAAUGACUUCACUGGAAAAGUAUGAAAUGGGAAGAGACAUAUGUGUUGGAUAUAAAGGAUUUGGUCAUAUUAUGGAGGGUCUUAAUGCUCGAGAUAAGGCAUGGCGACUCCAUUCUAAAAUUUGGAUCAAAGACCAUUCAAAUUUAUUUAAAAUGUACGAGACAAAAAAAAAAAAAUGCCAUAAAGAAAAAUCUACUUUUAGAAGAUUCAAGAGCAUUGGACUGGGUUGUUGUGAAGAUAACAUAAGGCAUUUGCUGUAUACCUAAUUAGAAUAUAAUAACUGCCAAUUAUAAUAAUAAUUAGGAGAUCUGUAUUUUUAUCCAGGCUCUGCCAUUAAGUGACCUAUGAGCAUGAACAUCUCUACUUCUCUGGCCCUCUGUUUCACAACAUGUAAAAUGAGAAGGUCAAACCAGAUGAUCCCAAGGAGUCACUUCAGGUUUAAAAAUUCCAAUUAUUCAUGUUGAAUCCAGAGAUCGAGGAAUAGUACUCAGUACUUAAGCAGUGUUUUUACCCCCAAACCCCUCAAAGAAUAAAGCUAAACAAACUUUUCAUGGUCCAGUUGGCAUAUUUUGAUCCAGUCUUUACUUAAUUUUAAAAGUUAUAAAACAUGAAAACCCAAGAGUCCCCCAAAGUGGUCCCAAUGCAGAACACUUGGGAAUUUAAGAACACAAUAUUAUUUUAAAUAUAUUUAACAACUCAAUUCACACAGAUUGACAGAUGCAAUGGAAAAGUAGACCACCAACAGAUUCUGAUUAAACUCCACAAUCUGAACAUUUCAUAGAAAAACAAUAAGCCACUGCAUAUUCAUACAUCACAUUAAAAUAUAUAUUUGAAGUAUACAUCCUCUUUUAAAUGGCAGUGAUUAUACAUUAGUGCAACCACAGAGCACUUGUAAACUUUUUUUUUUUGUGGUUCAACAUCACCCAUGUCCAUGGGUGAUGACACCCAUGGACAACAAAUUCUGUUUGGUCAACUCCACUGUCUUUCUUGGGUCUAAGCGUUUUGAGUUUCCCUAUGUUGACAGUUAUAGCCUCUACCUACAACUGUAUCCAUCUAUCCAGAAAUGCCCACUGUCUGUGGGUGUGGGAGCAGGUGGUAUACAGGUCAAUCUGAAGAAAUCUCUCACCUUUCUAAAGUAAGAAAAAGGGUUUGAUCUGAUGAUUAGAGACAUAACCAUAUAUCACAGGCAAUUUAUACUUCUCACUAGGCAGGAAGCUUUGUCAAAAUGGAGUAAGGUUCAGGCCAGAGACGGCUUCAGUAUGAUUCCUUAGUUAUCUCUCCUUCCGGCCCUUAGUGUUAAGGAAGGGAAGAUAAGAAAGGAUGCUUGUCCAAAGUGGCUGACAUCAUCUCAGCCUUGCUUUUAAAAUGCCACAGUUUAAAAUUCAAAGGCUGAUAAUGAUAAUAACAAGUUGCUUUAUGAAAAGCAACUUAAGCUUAAGCAACUCAAGCAACUUAAGCUGUCCGCUUAAGCGUUAAUCAAACAAGUUGCAUGUUCUUAUAUAUCGAGAUUCUCAGGAGCAAGCAGCAAACUCUGGUCGCAAUGGCAUAUGUAAUGAAGCAAACACUCUUCUCUGCUUUCAUCCAGACUCGGUCUGUGGCUGGCAGGAAGUCCUAAGCGUGUGCAGUGGAGUGCUGACCAGUAACACAGAUCUAACUAAAGAUGGGACACAGACAGAAGGGAGCUUCUUUCCUUGAAAUCCAAACAUCAUGUCAAAUUGACGUUUUUUGGUCCUCUUGGCAAGAAAAGGUACAUCAACUUCCGUCACCACUAGGGAGACUCAAAAUGUUUAUUCAUGAAUUUUCAGUCACCUCCCUUUAAUUUACAGUAUGUGCAUGUUAACAACAACAAUGAAUCCCCGAGUUUCAGCUGAAAAUACAACAGUUUCAAUGUAUUUCUUAAUCACUAAGUAUGUAUGUAUUCUUCCACAUUCCUAUUGUCUACUUCAGGUCUGAGAUGCCCCCUUGUGGCACUUUUCUAAGUAGGCUCCUCAGCACAGAAUAGCGUCUCAAAGGUCAAAUCUUCUGGCCCAAGGGAAGUGCUCAGGAUUCAAUCUUCUUGAAAAUUCUGUGCUGGGUCUCACUGGGUGGCCUUGUGUAAUCCAACCAGAUUGCUUUUGAACAAAAAGAGGAGUCAAAGAGAACUUGGGUUUCCAGAGAAAAAUAAAGUGCUGCCCCCUAUAAAUCACAGUCUCUGUGGAGUACAGUGUCUUCCUAAAGAGGUAGAAAUAAUAGGGGUGUGUGUUGUAGGUGCCCAUAUUUCAAUGAUACUGAACACUGUAUCUUUAAGGGCUGCAUCUUUAAGGGCUUAAAAUGGACUGACUCCACUCAUCUCUCUGAUUUUUUCAUAAGUAAGCCAGAACACCAGUGACCAAGGGGUCUGAAAGAUUAACCAAAGAAGUUAGUGCAUAUUUCAAAGCGAUUAUGAAUAUUCUACAUAUACGCAUAUACAUCUUUGAAUGACGAAGUCAUUUUGAAUCCCACUUAGGCUGCAAACAAAUAUUUUGGUAUUUCACCUUUAGAGAGCACUUUAUAACUGACGAAACAUUUUCAUAUCUUAUUUUUCAUAGAUUUCUCUGAACAAUUUACAAUAGAAAGGAAAGGUACUGACACCCCUAUUUUACAGAUGAGGGCACUGAGGCUUGGCAAUCGAAUACCUAUUAACAUAUGAUAGAGCUAGACUACAGGCUUCUGGCUUCCAUUCUAGGGUUCUUUUCACUGAACCAUUACUAGCUAAAAGGCUAGGACUCGCCAUGCCUGAAUUCUAGGCUGGGCUCUUCUGUGUGUACUUUCUGUGUGGAGGUGGACAAGGAGACAUUUAAGAACUUGAAACUGAAGACAGAAGAUUAGCCCCUGAGAUGUAAACCAUAAACUCAACACCUGAUCUCUCACAAAGUGGAUAGAAAAAUUCCCAUUAAAGAGAGAAAAGAGCUUCCAGCUCAGGGAGACAUGCCUAUCUUGAUAUAACUGUGUCAAAAGGAAUUAAAGGGAAGGGGGUUAUUCAACAAUAGAAGAUAUAAACGUGGAAGGAAAUCACAGAGGAAACACUGGAAGGAAUCGUCAGGGAAAGAGUAUGUUGGAUCCAGUUCCUGUAUGGUUUGGUUCAUAGGUUAUAGGUAAUAUAGAUCAGAGAAAAACUAUCACACUAGAAUCAAAAUGGAAGCCUGAGCAAUUAGACUAUAAAAUGCAUUUGGUUAGACACUUUGUGAAGCAAUAUUUAGGUCACGUGUUUAGAAAUACGGAGUAUGUUAUAGGAGACGGGGACUUUACCGGUGGGCUUAGGAGAACACAUCUUGAUUAGUUAAAUGUGUGAAGACGGACACAAAAUAAAGAAGGUGAAGCCAUGACGAUAUCAUAUUCUUGUGACAACAAAAAUCAAGUGAGCCACGGAUAUAAUUGCAAUCAGAUCAAGGAAUUAGAGGUCUUGGCUAAGACUGGACUAUAUAAUCAUUCCUAACUGUUCUGGUAAUCAGACUUCUGUAUGCGAAUGAAAGAGGGGCGCCUGGGUGGCGCAGUCGGUUAAACGUCCGACUUCAGCCAGGUCACGAUCUCGCGGUCCGUGAGUUCGAGCCCCGCGUCAGGCUCUGGGCUGAUGACUCAGAGCCUGGAGCCUGUUUCUGAUUCUGUGUCUCCCUCUCUCUCUGCCCCUCCCCCGUUCAUGCUCUCUCUCUCUCUGUCCCAAAAAUAAAUAAACGUUGAAAAAAAAAAAUUAAAAAAAAAAAAAAGAAAUAUUAAUUAGGGAUUGAGCAAAGCAAGGCCAUACUACUUUCACGUAGUGGAAGGGACUGGGCUUGAGUUUAGCUGGCCUCUGAAUGGGAGUUGGACAGGGAGAGCAUACAGCCACUAACAGGGGAACUACAUAGAUGGGAUCCUUGGAGCGUCUGCGCAGGAUCACAUGUAGGUGGUGCAUGUGCACUUGGUUUUUCUUCACCAGUAUAGUUAUACUGCCGUAAAUAAUCCAAGUGAAUAUGAACCCAUGUGGUCUCCUCUGGUCUGGCUAUUGCUGUGACUGCUCAAAAGAGUCCUUCUCCAUGCCUUUCACUGUGGGGCUGAACACAUAAGGGCUCUUGGGUUGAUAUUCUUAGAUACUAAGAUUACAAAUAAGCUCUUCCUGUUAUUUUUCUGUGUGCAGCAAGCAGCCUCCUGAUUGUAACCUGGCUUCACGUGCAGCUUGAAUUUAGGAAGCACACUGUCCAAAGGACUUCAGCGUCUGGAUCACUUGCCAAGUGUGUUUCUCAGUGUGAAGGGGCCAGUGCCGUGGUCUGAUCAUCAGUUUCAACGAAUACGGUCGAAGUGAAUCUGUAUUUGCAAGGCCAAUUUACUUGCAGGUUUCAUGAGUCAGGUUUCUAAGCUCAGGGUCCUGCACUGUGGCAGACCAACAAGGCAGUGCCACCCUGGAGAUCUCUGCUGGUUAGCCAGCUGUUUGGGGAACAUCUCUCUAUCAGCACGCACUCUUUUCCCUGACGACUUCCAUAGCUACCUGCAGGAUCUUGAGAGAUUCACUACACUGUAUGAGCUAGGAGCAUGGCUUCAGAGCUGAACAGACCCACAGCUAGUUCCCAGCUCUGCCACAUACCAGCUAAAUGAACUUGGGCAAGCGUCUCAUCCUUUGAGCCAUGUUUUUCUCAUCUGAAAAAUGAGGAUAACACCACCUGUUUUACUAGGUUCUCAAAGACUUUGCACAGUGCCUGUCCUAUGUGAAGUACUCUUUUUUUCUCAUUUAUAUUCCCUGAGUCUCAUGCAUAAAGAGAAUGGGUCAGAUUCAGUGGUCUCGGUAUUCCUUUGGACUUGGAUAUUCUCCCUGCCCUCACGCCUCCUGCCCCUGAUUUUUUCACCAAUGGCCUCACCAUCCUCACAGUCUCCCACACUAGACAUCCAAAAGUCCCAUUUCCUUUGUUCCCUCCCCACCUUUUACAUAGAGUCAGUUAAGUCCUGUGGAGUUAACCAUAUAUGUCUCUAGAAUAUAUCUUUGCUCCAUUUUUACAAUCAUCUCCAGGAUAGAGCGCAGAUAAAACUUCCUUUCUUGGGUCCUGGCUUUAAAUGUAUCUUCUGUAUUGCUGCCAAAGUAGUCCUGUCCCCAAACAAACCUGAGUACUUUCCUCCCAUGAUUAAACAGCUGCUUGCUUGCUCCGGGGUUUUCCCUAAACCAGCAAACUGACCCCGGUAAGGUCCUUUUAUAACCCAGUCCAUAGGUACUUCUCUAGAAUUCUGUCCCACCACGUCUCCCCUGAGGACCUAUUCUCCAGCUACACCGAAUUUUCUGCAGUUGCCCCAACCUACUGGGUCCACGCAUGAGUUGAUCCCCAGGCUCAUACUGCUUUUCUUGAUAAAUGCCUACUGAUCUUUCAAAGCUCGGAUCAAACGUGCCUCUGCAGAAGACUUUUGUGCCUUCCCAAACAGUCAGAGACAUGUUUACUUCACUACCCGUGUUACCAACACAUUUUGUUUAUACCACUAGUAGAGCAGUAAUACAAACUGCUUAGUAAGACCAUGUCCUCUGGAGUCAGACUUGCUGGGUUUGCCUCCCUGAUGCCACUAAUUGAUAACUACCUAGCCUGGCUGAGUUCUUUAUACUCUAAGCUUUUGUUAUUCCUCUCUAAGAGAGAAAUCACAAUAACCUACUGAAGAGAUUGUUGGGAGAGUUCAGUGAGUUAAUCCGUGAAAAUGAUGAGCACGGUGUUGGUGCUCUUACCAAGUGAUUUAAUAAUGUUAACUUUAUUAUUUCUGUAAUUUUCACUAUUUACAUGUCUACAUUUUCCAUCACAUUAUAAGCUCCUCUCAGGCAAAAAACUUAUUCCCUAGGGCUACCAGCACUUACGAUAGUGCCUGGUUCAUGGCAGGCCAAAUCAAAAUCCUCCUUUCCAUUAAGAAACAUCCAUAGAUUUGAGAUAAUUUCAAGAUAUAAUCUAGACAAUCAAAAUAAGGUUUUACAUUUGGGUACACUUUUGGACCAGCUAUUGCCCAGGGCUUUGGCUAUUAAAUCUAUGUUAAUAGAUACCUACUAUUGCUUGGUGAUGUCACUUAUUCUCAGAGCUUCAAUUCCCAUCUAUAUGUAGACAGUGCUCCCCUCUAAAUCUCCAUCCCCAUAUUUUCUGUAAGAUCCAGAUCAAUAUACGAAGCUAGUUAUCUAAACCUCUGUUCUUAGAUAUCCUAUGAGUAUUCAAAACUUAACAAAUCUAGAGUUAAACUUGUUAUUCUACCAUGAAAUCAUCCCUACAAAUGAUCUCCGUGUUAGGAUAUUACAUCAUCUGUUGCUCAGGUUGGGAAUCUGGGAAUGAAACCCAGCUUUUCUUGCCUUCUUUGACCAUUUUCCCCUCCUCACCCAGUCAUGCUUGUCAUGCUUCCAGCUCCUUGCUUUCUCCUAAAUUAUUUUGUAGAUCUAUCUUUUUCUUUCCCCAUUGUGGUACUCUAGUCCGCACUAUCAUUAUGUCUCAUCUACUACUGUUCCUGGCCUUUCUCUAAUCCACAUGGCAGCUGGAAUGAUCUUUUUAAAAAUACACGUAUCAUCAAGCCGGUGCCCCUCACUCUUAUGGGUCCUAUGACCCUUCCCACACUGAUCUCUGCCUCUCUCUGGCCUCACCUUGUACCUCUCUCCUCCAUGUCUUCAUGCCUCGGCCGGCUGGGUUUCCUUCAGUUCCUCAAACUCCUCAUGUUCUCUGUCCAUUCCAAUGAUUCCCUCUACCUAGAAUGUUUUUUCUGCUCUUUUUUACCUGGCUAAGUCCUACCCAUUCUUUAAAACUCAAUUCUAAAGUCCAUUGUCCAUGGAGGUAUUCUUAAUCUCCAGGCCUAGGCUGUAUGCCCUUGCUAUAUAUUGCCAUAGCACCUUGCACUUUUCCUCUACCACUCAUCACUUCCAGUUUUUUAUUCAGUGUUUGGCCUUAUCAAACCAGCAGCUCUGGCACUAGAGCAGGGGGUGAGACUCUUCUGUUCAUCCCUCCAAACCAGGCCUUGAGUACAGGGCUUUGCAUGGAGUAGGUGCUCAAUUAAUAUUAUCAUACUGUGUAAAGUAUUGAUUGUUUGAAUUUCUAAAUGCACGACUCAGUCUUGCAAAUAUGUUCCAACUUACAAAAUCCUUGAGUACCCUGUGUUUAUUAUAUAUGUUGUUCCUUGAAUAAGUCUCACACUACAUCUUUGUUCACCACCAUAAAAAUAACAUCCAAACCUAAUAAAAAUGACAUAAGGCUUUCUUACUAAGCAGAGCUUUGUGGUGAUAAGUGUUAAUGGAUAAUGCAACAUUUGCCAUCAAAGUAACAAAAAUUUGUUUGAAACAGUAACAUUUCCAUAGGAAUGGUUUCUAGCAUAAAAUCUUUAUACCUGUCCCAAACUACAGUACUUUGACUAAACAGACCACUAAAGGUUUUUAAAUUGCAGAAAAACCCUCUCCUCUGGCUUUAUAACAAGAGAAUAUCAACUUAUUUAUUUCUGGAUGUAACUGAAUUAUUUUACUUUAUUCUACCAAGAAAGGUAACAGGACUCUGAGGAGAGGUAAAAAGAAAACAAAAAAAGAUAUAAAAAAGAGAAAGAAUUGUGGUUUGGGGGCAGAGCCAUGCUAAAAACCAAAAGAGAAAGGGGAAAAUAUUUACAGAUUAAAAGCAAUUUAAGUACAAAGAAAACAAAAACAAAGGAAAAACCUGACGUUACCAUUCUCAGCCAAGAUGGUAAAAAGCCUUUAUAUAGACUCAUGAAUCCUUCUCCUUGAACAGCCUGAAUCAAGCAGUCAGUUGAUGAUUUAUACAAAAGUCCCCUAAAAAGGAAAGAAGACAGUUCUACUAAAUUUCUUGUGUGUAAAUGGAUGUGUACAGAAAACAUAAAUAAAAAAUAGUCUAAGCAAACUUACUCUAAUGAAACUUAAAUAUUUUCUGCUAGCUUAGAACAAAUAAUAUUUGUAGUUCAGUAUAUAUAAAUCACCUCUUUUGAGUUUAAAGUUAUUUUCUUUAGAUGUCUAAGGCUGACUCUUCUGAUUCAUCCCACCCUUAGUCUUAUACUUAGAAUUCGCUCUACCUGAUCUCUUCCAGAGAGAAUAUAGUGUUUUAUAUCAAAUCAAAUUCUCCGUGUUACCUGUAAGUCAUAAGCUUCUGAAGAAAGUGCUCUGUAAAUUCUCAGCAGAGUAUAUUUUCAUAAACUCUUUGAAAACAAUAAAAUCACAAUAAAUACC